ensembl:lncRNA
CUGGGGAUGCAUUGCUUGUUUCUACAUCUCACUGUUCAACAGAAUCAUGUAGUCUGCCACUGACUACACAGAACAUUGGAUCCACUAGUGACAAGAUGCAACUGAACAGGCGUAUCACAUUUCCAUGGCUUGACACAAGGUGUUUGAAAAUGGUGUACAAAACUCCUUACAGAACUGGAAACAGAGAUGAAGGACCUAAUAGGAGAGGAUCUAGGAGUAUCUGUGGAUUAUGUGUUACCCAAGGAACAGGAACCAGAGAGAGAGAGAGGGUGCAUAUCGGUGGAUUGUGAACAAAAAACAACUAUUAUCACUAAAGUUCAUGUGUGGUCAUUGACUGCUUGAUUCUAUUACUGGCAAGGAAAUCAAAUAAAAGCCCUCCCAUUACAUUUGAAUUAUGUUGUACAUUUAGG